rnacentral:lncRNA from 1 species
CUGCUCUGCAGCGUCAUCUUCCUCCUCACUACUGCUUCCCUCAGAUUCUGAAUUGGCAUCCUCCUCUUCCUCUUCUUCUAAUGAGAGGCCACCUUGUCUUCUCUUCCUAAUCACCAGCAGUCACAGGAAAAAGGAAAGACAGCACAAAACGAUUUCAGUUAUCCCUCUCCCAAUCCCAAAGGUAAUCUUAUAAACCCAAGAACAC